UCAAGCGAACAAGGGCGCAGGGCGAAUGCCUUGGCACUGGGAGCCGAUGAAAGACGUGAUAAGCUGCGAUAAGCUUCGGGGAGCUGCAAAUAAGCAUUGAUCCGGAGAUUUCUGAAUGAGGAAACUCACCUGGGUUCAUACUCAGGUACAAUACACUGAAAUUCAAAAUAGGUGUAUUGAGGGAACCGCCUGAACUGAAACAUCUAAGUAGGGCGAGGAAGAGACAUCAAACGAGAUUCCGUAAGUAGUGGCGAGCGAACGCGGAAGAGGGCAAACCGGGAGUAGAAAUACUUCCGGGGUACGGACCGCAUUUAGGACUUGAGUUGUUAACCGAACGGCAUGGGAAGGCCGGUCAGAGAGUGUGAGAACCACGUAGGUGAAAACGGAGAGAGCUGCGCAGGAUCCAGAGUACGGCCAGACACGUGAAACCUGGUCGGAAUACGGGGGGACCACCCUCCAACCCUAAAUACUACCCAGUGACCGAUAGCGUAUAGUACUGUGAAGGAAAGGUGAAAAGCACCCCGGGAGGGGAGUGAAAAAGAACCUGAAACCCUGUGCCUACAAGCACCUAGAGCACGUCAAUGUGUGAUAGGGUACUUUUUGUAGAACGGUCCGGCGAGCGAUUGUAUGCAGCAAGGUUAAGGACUUAAGGUCUGGAGCCGAAGCGAAAGCGAGUUUGAAAAGGGCGUUAAGUUGCAUACAAUGGGCCCGAAACCGGGUGACCUACCCAUGGUCAGGUUGAAGUGGAAGUAAAAUUCCAUGGAGGACCGAACCGACCUCCGUUGAAAAGGCGGCGGAUGAACUGUGGGUAGCGGAGAAAUUCCAAUCGAACCCGGAGAUAGCUGGUUCUCCCCGAAAUAGUUUUAGGACUAGCCUCAAGUUAGAUACCUGGAGGUAAAGCACUGAAUAGCCUAGCGGCCGAGAGGUUAGCGAAGCUUAUCAAACUCAGAAUGCCAGAGUAUUGAUGCUUGGGAGUCAGACAGUGUCAGAUAAAUGUCAUUGUCAAAAGGGAAACAGCCCAGAUCUACAGCUAAGGUCCCAAAGUCAGGUUAAGUGGAAAACGAUGUGAAGAUACGUAGACAACCAGGAUGUUGGCUCAGAAGCAGCCACACAUUCAAAGAGUGCGUAAUAGCUCACUGGUCGAGCGUCUUUGCGCGGAGAAUUUAACGGGGCUAAACCUGACACCGAAGCUUAGGCAAUACAGCAAUGUAUUGGGUAGGGGAGCGUUGUAUACGCGGUGAAACAGUAGCGCAAGCGGCUGUGGAGUGUAUAGAAGUGAGAAUGCCGGAAUGAGUAGCGCGAAUGCAGUGAGAAUCUGCAUGGCCGAAAGCCUCAGGUUUCUGGAGGAAGGUUCGUCCGCUCCAGGUUAGUCGGGAGCUAAGGUGAGGCCUAACGGCGUAGCCGAUGCACAGACGGUAGAGAUUCCGUCACCACCAAAAGAGUUAAACACAGGGACACAUUUGAAGUCUCGGAGCCGGGUGUUGGUUCCGGUAGCGAUCGAGGGAAAUUAGUACCGAAGUCCGGGAUGGAAGAUGGCGAGAAAAGCUGUGUGUAUUUCUGCGGUGCCCGUACCGCAAACCGACACAGGUAGGUAGGAAGAAGAUUCUAAGGCCAACGGGAGAAGGGUUGUUAAGGAACUCGGCAAAUUGACCCCGUAACUUCGGGAGAAGGGGUGCUCCAGAGAUGGAGCCGCAGAGAAUCGGCCCAAGCAACUGUUUACCAAAAACACAGGUUUGUGCUAAAUCGAAAGAUGACGUAUACGAGCUGACGCCUGCCCGGUGCUGGAAGGUUAAGAGGAGAUGUGCAAGCAUUGAAUCGAAGCCCCAGUGAACGGCGGCCGUAACUAUAACGGUCCUAAGGUAGCGAAAUUCCUUGUCAGGUAAGUUCUGACCCGCACGAAAGGCGUAAUGAUUUGGGCACUGUCUCAACAGCCCGCCCGGCGAAAUUGUAGUACCGGUGAAGAUGCCGGUUACCCGCGACAAGACGGAAAGACCCCAUGGAGCUUUACUGUAGCCUAAUAUUGGGUUUCGAUGUUGCAUGCACAGGAUAGAUGGGACUCUUGGAAACCAAGGCUUUGGCUUUGGCGGAGAGGCCGUUGGGAUACCAUCCUUGCGAUAUUGGAAUUCUAACCUGCGGCUCUGAAUCGAGUCGGGGGACAUUGUUAGGUGGGCAGUUUGACUGGGGCGGUCGCCUCCUAAAGAGUAACGGAGGCGUUCAAAGGUUCGCUCAGCUUGAACGGAAAUCAAGCAAAAGAGUGCAAACGCAGAAGCGAGCCUAACUGCGAGACUGACGGGUCGAGCAGUAACGAAAGUUGGAGUUAGUGAUCCGGUGGUAUGUGAGUGGAAAUGCCAUCGCUCAACGGAUAAAAGCUACCCUGGGGAUAACAGGCUGAUCUCCCCCAAGAGUCCACAUCGACGGGGAGGUUUGGCACCUCGAUGUCGGCUCAUCGCAUCCUGGGGCUGAAGUAGGUCCCAAGGGUUGGGCUGUUCGCCCAUUAAAGCGGUACGCGAGCUGGGUUCAGAACGUCGUGAGACAGUUCGGUCCCUAUCUGUCGUGGGCGCAGGAUAUUUGAUGGGAGCUGUUCCUAGUACGAGAGGACCGGAGCGGACGUACCUCUGGCGCACCAGUUGUUCUGCCAAGGGCAUAGCUGGGCAACUAUGUACGGAUCGGAUAAACGCUGAAAGCAUCUAAGCGUGAAGCCGACCCAAAGAUAAGAUAUCCCA
rnacentral:rRNA from 1 species